rnacentral:tRNA from 1 species
GGGGCGUUAGUUAAAUGGAUAUAACAUACGGCUACGGACCGUACAUUGCGGGUUCGAUUCCUACACGCCCUGCCA